rnacentral:rRNA from 1 species
GUCAGCAGCCGCGGGAACACCGGCGGCCCGAGUGGUGAUCGUGAUUAUUGGGUCUAAAGGGUCCGUAGCCGGUUUGGUCAGUCCUCCGGGAAAUCUGAUAGCUCAACUAUUAGGCUUUCGGGGGAUACUGCCAGACUUGGAACCGGGAGAGGUAAGAGGUACUACAGGGGUAGGAGUGAAAUCUUGUAAUCCCUGUGGGACCACCUGUGGCGAAGGCGUCUUACCAGAACGGGUUCGACGGUGAGGGACGAAAGCUGGGGGCACGAACCGGAUUAGAUACCCGGGUAGUCCCAGCCGUAAACGAUGCUCGCUAGGUGUCAGGCAUGGCGCGACCGUGUCUGGUGCCGCAGGGAAGCCGUGAAGCGAGCCACCUGGGAAGUACGGCCGCAAGGCUGAAACUUAAAGGAAUUGGCGGGGGAGCACAACAACGGGUGGAGCCUGCGGUUUAAUUGGACUCAACGCCGGACAACUCACCGGGGGCGACAGCAAUAUGUAGGCCAAGCUGAAGACUUUGCCUGAAUCGCUGAGGAGUGGUGGUGCAUGG